AGAUUGAACGCUAGCGGGAUGCUUUACACAUGCAAGUCGAACGGCAGCGCGGACUUCGGUCUGGCGGCGAGUGGCGAACGGGUGAGUAAUAUAUCGGAACGUGCCCAGUAGCGGGGGAUAACUACGCGAAAGCGUGGCUAAUACCGCAUACGCCCUACGGGGGAAAGGGGGGGAUCGCAAGACCUCUCACUAUUGGAGCGGCCGAUAGUCAGAUUAGCUAGUUGGUGAGGUAAAGGCUCACCAAGGCGACGAUCUGUAGCUGGUUUGAGAGGACGACCAGCCACACUGGGACU
rnacentral:rRNA from 1 species